rnacentral:rRNA from 1 species
UUGGACAAUGGGCGCAAGCCUGAUCCAGCCAUGCCGCGUGUGUGAAGAAGGCCUUCGGGUUGUAAAGCACUUUCAGUAGGGAGGAAGGCUUUGGGCUAAUACCCUGGAGUACUUGACGUUACCUAC